CGCAGCCGCGGUAAUUCCAGCUCCAAUAGCGUAUAUUAAAGUUGUUGCAGUUAAAAAGCUCGUAGUUGAAUUUCGAGACCGGCUUACUGGUCGUGCUAUUGUGCGUACUGGUAUAAUCGGUUUCUCCUUUCUGACGAACUAUAAUGCCAUUAAUUUGGUGUUAUAGGGAAUCAGGACUGUUACUUUGAAAAAAUUAGAGUGUUUAAAGCAGGCUCACGCUUGAAUACAUUAGCAUGGAAUAACGGAAUAGGACGUUUGAUUCUAUUUUGUUGGUUUCUAGGAUCGACGUAAUGAUUAAUAGGGAUAGUUGGGGGCAUUAGUAUUCAAUUGUCAGAGGUGAAAUUCUUGGAUUUAUUGAAGACUAACUACUGCGAAAGCAUUUGCCAAGGAUGUUUUCAUUAAUCAAGAACGAAAGUUAGGGGAUCGAAGACGAUCAGAUACCGUCGUAGU
rnacentral:rRNA from 1 species